ensembl:lncRNA
CUCCUUAGGUUUCCAUCAGCAGCUUCAUCACAGAGACUUCUGGCUGACCUUUUUGUUUUUCCCCAGUUUGAAAAACUUCCAUUGCUUAUUAGGCCAUAAUGAGAAAUUUCUGAAACAACAUAUGUGAACAUCUGAGAAAAAAAAACUACUUGCUCCUGCUGGUUGCAAAAGAUUAAAGUAGCCUCUUAUGAAUCCAGUGCUUCUUCUGAGGCAGAACUGUUGAGGGAAACAAGGCUGUUCACACUCCAAGCGAAGCUGAAAUGGAAAGUUUUAGAACUAACACUCAUUGAUGCCUUUUGCUAAACUAAUAUAUUGAUCCUUAAACGAAUGUACUGAUGGCUACUGCUAAACAAACCAGCCUAUAUCACCCCAACUAUCUGAUUCUUCCUUUUUUUUUUUUUUUUUUCCAGGUAUUGGUGCCAUCUCUGAAGAACAUCUCAUUAAAUUUUGGUCUUGUCUGUCCAGCACCAGAAAUUAAUAGUCUUCCAACAUAACAAGCCUAUUGGGUUCUUCCAGAUACUGAUGCCUGCAAUAUUCAAACUCCUCACUCUGUCAAAAACUGUGAAGUUUAUUUGCAUACUUCCUUCUAAUGAAAUCAAGAGCUCAGUGCACCGUAAAGGGGUCAGACUGAGGAAGACGUCGAGCCUUCGCGAGGAAGACUUCUGACUUCAUCCCCACAACCACCAGAGGGAGACCCCUAUUAUGGACAGCGCAUGCACUGGGGGAGGGGAAGUAUGUAAAUGAGUUUCUGGAAGAAUACUG